rnacentral:rRNA from 1 species
UACGUAGGGUGCGAGCGUUGUCCGGAAUUAUUGGGCGUAAAGAGCUCGUAGGCGGUCUGUCGCGUCGGAUGUGAAAACUCGGGGCUCAACCCCGAGCCUGCAUUCGAUACGGGCAGACUAGAGUUCGGUAGGGGAGACUGGAAUUCCUGGUGUAGCGGUGAAAUGCGCAGAUAUCAGGAGGAACACCGGUGGCGAAGGCGGGUCUCUGGACAGUUCCUGACACUGAGACACGAAGGCCAGGGGAGCAAACGGG